rnacentral:lncRNA from 1 species
GGUGUGUGCUACGAUCGAACAGGAGAAAGGAAAAAGGGGGUGUGAACCCUAAACCUCAAGAAAUCAUCAAAUUGAAAAGGGAAUCAAGGGCUGAUUGUAUGCAUGAACCAAGGAUGAUGAUCCCUUAAGCAUUUCUAACAUCAACGUAGGAGCCAUGUCAACAUGGACACGAGCAUGGAAGGGCAAUGGGUCAACGGUAAAUACGGAAGCUAUGCAUGAACUCGGACGCACGAGGUAGCGUUAGUUAAUUGAGCAUGGUGAUGAUUGAAGUUUGAUAUGGUUUUGGUUGUAUGAAAUCGGUUAUUUUAGCUAAGUAGACCGAACGGGACAAUAUAAAGUUGUAAUGAUAUGACAGAUUGAUGUAAUGCUACGGUAUUGUAACCGGGUAAUGGGUAGAAUUGCACAUAAGUGCGCCAACCGAGAAUGGGGACUUAGGUUAAUGGUCAAAAGACUUAGCUUUUGACCUUAAAUAAAAGAAUGGUUUAACAAAAUACGAACAGGUCGAAUAAAUGUGCAUAAACUUCAUAAUGCUAAUGAAAUGCGUAAAGAUUAAGGACCCGGGUAAGGGCGUUUAGCCCAUAAUGUAAGGACAAGUCUUACGGACAACUAGAAAUAAUUGUGAGCAAUUUGAUUGAGGAAUGUCCGAGAUACGCAAGUUUUAAUAAUAAAAAUAUGAAUGGGUUGAGUAGUCGAAACGAGUAUGUAGAGCCGAAGGCUUUAAGUUAAGAUUUUUCCUUGUUUGGAUGUUAUAUUACAAGCUCAUAUGUUAGAAAAUCGAUUUACCAACGCAUAGGAAAAAGAAUCAUGUUAAUCGGAUUCGUAGAUCAAAAGUUAUGCAAAUUGUAAGUCGAAAAUACCCUUGGAAUUCAUAGCUGGGAAUUUACAGCAGCAAAUUUGAAGUUUCUGUCGAAAUAGAGCUGUCGCGCCCCGCGAGCGCCAGUCAGCUGGCAAAUUUUGGUUUUCUUGUUUGAUUUUGCAUCCGGACUCGAUGUUUUAAUGAUUUUCGAUGUCCCUUAACUUAUAUUAAAGCCGGUUUGAAACACGAGUGAUGUUAUGAGCCUCCGGAUAAUGAAAGUAUGUAUUUUUCUUCGUGUUAGAGAAGAAAGAUUAUAAGUAAUCGAGACUAGAAAUGAGUGGGCAUGCAAUAUGGUAAGUAUAAAACUUAUAUCACGGAAGUUGCGAUUAUGAUAAGAAAUGCGAGAUUAAGUGAAUAAAAGUAGUAAGCGAGGGCUCGCGUCUAUGUGUGUGUAUGUGAAUGUGUGCGUAUGUAUGUAGGUGUAUAUGUUGUAUGUAUGUAGGAAUUAGGAACGUAUACGUUUGUGGAUGCGAGAUGUUAUAAGUAUAUGAAGGAAUGGUUUGGACUGGUUUCAUUAUGUUCUAGCAUUAAUGUUUGCUAAUCGUGUGUUUGAGAUUGGAAUGAAAUGCAGGUACAUGAACACCGGGUUCAUGAAGUAUCGAAGUCGAAUUCGGAACAAGAAAAUACAAAAGGAUAGUUGAAUGAAUUAAAGUUCCUACUUUUAAAUGUUAUUCAAUAUUGGACUAUAUGAGAAUCAUGUCGUAUGAUAUUGUUAAUGACUAAUGGUUAUGAUGUAUGCGAUGUCCACAGGUAUUGCACGGAUUACCGCUACUACUACCGAAGAUAAGCAAGCGUUGAUCGAGUCACGGAGCAAGGGUUGUAAGGAAAUAUGUAUUGUCUUGAAGUGUUAAUUUAAUGUGGUUAUUGUAAAUCCCUUUUGUAAAUGUUUAUCAUUUGUAUUUGAGCCUUCAAGUAAGUAAUGUGUCUAAAUAAGAAAGAAAUUUUUGG